CAUGAACUUCACGACAAGUUCCUCCAGCAUGGUCUGAACUCAGGGAUUGGACAAAGAAGACAUGCUAUUUAAGCUAUACAGUUCUGUAAGUGCUCAAAGCAUGGAAAGAAUAGAAGAGCUUCUCCAGGAGGACCAGAAUGUCAAGCGGAGGAAAGAGCGUAUCCAGAAACAGUCCUCUAUUCUUUCCAAGCUUACUACACAACUCUGUAUUAAUGAUAAUCUGGCAGCCGCUGCAUCCACCUAUUCCAAUGAAGAAAGUUCAACCAUUGCUGGCCCAUCUUCCCGGGAGCUCUGGAGAUGCUACGUUUGAUGCUGCUGCCAGCGGUCCAAACCUAUCAUAUGGGGAUUCUAGAUCAAAUUGUCUCAGUCGCCGGAACAGUGAUCCUUUUCAUAAUGGUGAUAUAAACCCUGGUGCCGACGAACACCCUAGCAUUUGCCACUUGCUCCUCCAUCAUCUGCAUCUGUUUAUAUAUUCUAAGGUUUAUUUGACCAUUACACUUGAGAAAAUGGCCAAAGGGGAUGCUCAGAAGCUCUACUUCACUGUUCCAAUAUUUGAGACACAUCCUCCCUAGUACUUCAUCCACGCAAUUUCAGAUUCAUGGAUGCAUUCAGAGUGUUUCUAUACUAUGUCCUUCCGGAACCUCAUGCUCCCUGAGAUGAUUUUGAGAUUCACUGAUAUUUAUGUUUUGAAAACCAUGAAGAGUUUUAAUCUUAAAGUUUUCUUAUGUUCCUUCAGGCUCUUACAACUUAUAUGGAACUCCUUGACUUGAAACCACUUCCUGUGACUGCACUUGCAAAUGGAACUU